UCUUCCUGUGUCCGCACAUGCCUGGCAUGUACUCACAUUCAGUCUUCAUAGGCACUAUACAUAUAAGGCCAUGCUAAAGGUGAAAAACGGGUUUAGAAGUGACUAUCGCCUUUCUCAGCAACAGUGGAGUCAGAAUUUGAACUUCGGACUCAAAGACUACCCAUUCCCACUGCAAUAUCUCCCUGGCAUGGAGCUGUGGUACAGAAGCACAUAUGUGGAGAACAGAGGACAACUUUUGGAAGUCCAUUCUUUCCUUCCAUCUUCUGCGUAUUUGGGGGUUGAACUCAGAUCGUUGCGCUUGUGUGCCCAUUGUUCGUUUGCUGAGCCAUCUCACAGGCUCAGCAUCUAGCAUCUCUUUAAUUCCAUUGUCUUUUUAUGGGAACAGCAUUUUCAACCCAUUUGCUGAAAGAACACUGAAGGAGGACAGAUGGUACAAUCCAGCAUUGUGAAGCUGCCAAAGGAAUGUUUAUUCCAAAGCCCAUUUUCCCAUUUGGAAUGGAACCUGCCUAGAUGACAUUGAUUGGCUAACAGAGGUCAUAUGGUCAGACCACAUAAAGUGUGUGGGAGCAUACAAGGGUCCAGAAUCCUCUGCAAAUGUGGACAGCAGCAAAGUCAAAAUACGUUCAAAUGUCAAGGAAGACAAGACU